UCCCGUGCUCGUCUAAGACACAAGCUCAAGUGCAAUGCAAACUGAUCUGGGCUGCUCUUAGCCUGCUCCAGAAAGUAGUUUUAACUGCUCCCAACCUGCUCCAAAACAGCGGUUUCAGCUGCUCCCGUGACUGCUCCCAAAUACAUUUCAUGAGUUCCACCCCUGUUCAUAUUUUGUGGGAAAGGUUUGGCGCCGGGUGUGAGACUGAUGAGUUUCCAGGGAGGCCUUGGCUCCGGAAUGGGAUUCACAAAUUGGAUCGGGACAUCCAAGUAUGUCGCAAUGGCUCGCUCUUCUUUGGUGUGCUGGAGUCGUGGAAGAUGGGCUUCCUUUUGUUGUUGUAGGAGAACUUUGAAUUCAGGGAGGUAGAUGCAGUUGUGCAGCAGUGUGCUGAGGUAGUCCAAGGAUUGCCCUCCUAGCAUCAUUCCACAGACUCUGUAGUUUUAAGUGGUGCACUUUGGUGAGCGGGAAGAAGUAUGUCGCGUAUGUUACGUUAGAUACCAAGACUGUAGUGACAAUAUUCUUGGCCACCCUUUUUCCGGCACCACCUAGCCUGUGCGAGAUCCUGCAUAGAAAAUUUAGUCCUUGUACGCAAGUAUGUAAGCAUAAAAAAUUAUUUUAUGCUUACGUCGCGCUUAAACAUUAAAUAUAUCUUUUGCCUCUUACAUCGUCGACAAAAUCUUAACAUUUUUUUAUAAAAGGCAUUCAUAAGGUAAAAAAAGAACAAUCCCACAGUUGCAGUGCCCAUUAAAUUCCAGUUAUGAAAAACGAGUAAGCCUUUCCUUUUGUCUAAUUACCUAACGAUAGUUUUCCUAAUGUGAAAUAUAUGCCAAAAAAUGGAACUAAGAAAAACGGGCUCAAUGUGCCCAAAUCUCUACCUUUUCUUUAGUAACUAUGCAGUGCAAACAAAUAAAACAAUCUGGGAAUACUCUCUAGGUGUUGGUGGAUGUAAGCAUGGCAUUUCUCAAAAUCUACAUUUUUCCAGAAAUUUGUUUUUUCUGGUAUGUGUCCCCGAUUAAGUAAUGUGAGUUAACUUUUUCGAACAUUUUUAUUUUUUUUGUCCUGUACCGUUCUAAGACCUCACUCUAGCAGUUUGCUCAGUGGGGUACUUAUCGCUGAGUGUGUGUGUGUUCACCACAACACUUCCUUCUACCGGUUCGGACAUCGCUAUUUGAACAUUUCUCGCACAGCCCAGCAGGUUUUGCUAUAAAUUGGCACUGUACCCAUAUUGAAUGCUGUGUAAUGUCCCUUUGGGACUGCAUUGAUGAAAAGUGUGGAAAAUGUGAAACGUACUAGAAUGCUUAUACUCUGUUUUCACCUUCCUUCUUUGUACUGGUAUCUUCGCAAUCAUGUAUUUAUACGACACGUGCUUUGAGAUGUCACUUUAUGUUGUUUUAGGUGUUUUCUUGCUCCGUGUGCAUGUUCCUGGCAGUUGUUUCUUUGUUGCCUGGCUGUCUGCAUCGGAAUUGGGUGUCCUUGUAUGCUGGAAAAUUCUUUUUGCUUGUUUUUGUGUAAAACAGGUUAGUAUUUUGUUUCUCUGCUUCACUGAUGGCUAAUAUUCUUAUAUUUUUUAUUAGAAUGAGGAGGAUUGGUGAACCCAAGACUCUAUGAAUACUAACUCAGCCAUGAAUUUGCUUUGGUUACAGGGUCCUUUGAAUUGUUGCUUAAGGUGCAUUUAUUUUUGUAUUGUGUAACUAAUUUCAAAGCCUAUCUUUAUUGUAAUAAUUUUUCUUUUUACUUUUAUGUCGUUUGGCUUGAACAAAAUCUGCGGAUGAUAAAUAUGUAUUCAGACUUGCUUCUCCGUCUCUCAGAAAUAAAGGUCUGCAGUCAA